rnacentral:rRNA from 1 species
GACGAACGCUGGCGGCGUGCUUAACACAUGCAAGUCGAGCGGUAAGGCCCUUUCGGGGGUACGACGAGCGGCGAACGGGUGAGUAACACGUGGGUGACCUGCCCUCAGCUCUGGGAUAAGCCUGGGAAACCGGGUCUAAUACCGGAUAUGACUCCAUGACGCAUGUUGUGGGGUGGAAAGCCUUGUGCGGCUGAGGAUGGGCCCGCGGCCUAUCAGCUUGUUGGUGGGGUGAUGGCCUACCAAGGCGACGACGGGUAGCCGGCCUGAGAGGGCGACCGGCCACACUGGGACUGAGACACGGCCCAGACUCCUACGGGAGGCAGCAGUGGGGAAUCUUGCGCAAUGGGCGAAAGCCCGACGCAGCGACGCCGCGUGAGGGAUGACGGCCU